UGGUGGUGCAGAUCAGCCUGGAUGAGGAGGAACUGCACUGUGGCCCCCGCCGCCCUUGUCUCGGAUACUUGAGGCCAAUGUAUUUCAAUUUCAAAGAGGCUCACUGUUCUGACAAAUAUGUUUGGCAUACCAGAACCCAUUCACUGUUGUGGUGCAGAUGAAACAGGCUAAAAGAAGUGUCAACCUUACUUUUCCUAGGCCAUUUUAGCCACUGGUGCCAAUGCCUUCAACUUGUAAACCCAGUGCCAUCCAAUUCUCAAGCCCAAUACUGACCAAGGCCUGAGAUGAAGGAAUCUACUGCUGAGAUUUUAGCAAGUCUUAUGGCUGAGUCCAUCAGAGCUGUGACAUAAAGCAUCCUAUGGAGACCAAGCAAGUUUCAACAACAGAGAGAGAAAAACCCAGGGAUGGAGAAUUCUACCCCUUCAUUUCCUAUAUCACAUGGUUGCCUGGAACUGAAAGGCCGUUAUAGAGGGCACACAAUCAAGGGAGAAUGUCAGGUAGUGGGGAACACAAUAUUUUUUUCCUCAAAUAUCAAUUCUGUAUAUCCACUUGGGCCUCUUUUUCCUUGAGUCAUAAGACAAGCUGCUCCAGACAUUACCUGUGGGAACCACUCAGAGUCUCCCAGGGCUCUCAGGAAGGUCACUUCUGAGUCAGUAGGGAUGGUGCUUGGGACACAAGCUCUCAUCAGUUUUUUAAAACUGGCUUUCACUUGUCGGAUGUCAUGAAAUUCAACAGGAACAAACUCACAAUUUAAAGCAAAUUCUAACUUGAAGUUCUGUGGAUGAAGAUGCAGAGAAUUAGGCAGACGACGUGUUAUAGGUAAAAGAACAAUGUUUUCAACGGGGUAAUGCUUAGUGAUCUACAGUUAGUUGAGGCCAAAGAGCUGCAGGGGCUGCAGUGGAUCAAGAAAGUCAAUCUUGUUUCGCUAAUGUGUCAGUAUUGCUGGAAAGAGCCAUUCAGUAAAGUCUAGUGGUUUGACUUAGCUUGCUGUCAUUCUGAGAACUUGAAGAGGCUACUAGUAGACUGGAACCUGAUGGAGCUUAUAGGACCAAAUAUAAGCUACUUACAAGGCCAUGAACCUGGAGUUCUAAGGAGGAACCAAUGACGCAUGACAGCAUGAUUAAUUCAACACUGUAAACUAAGUCUCCCCAAGAUGUGAAUUAUAAUUAAAAGGUAAUAUGCUGUUGAGGUUCCAGAGCUCUACAAAUUAAAGUUUAUAGACAUACACAUUUGUU